CCUUGACAUCCAGAGAACUUAGCAGAGAUGCUUUGGUGCCUUCGGGAACUCUGAGACAGGUGCUGCAUGGCUGUCGUCAGCUCGUGUUGUGAAAUGUUGGGUUAACGUCCGCAACGAGCGCAACCCUUAUCCUUUGUUGCCAGCGGUUCGGCCGGGAACUCAAAGGAGACUGCCGGUGAUAAACCGGAGGAAGGUGGGGAUGACGUCAAGUCAUCAUGGCCCUUACGGCCAGGGCUACACACGUGCUACAAUGGCGCAUACAAAGAGAAGCGACCUCGCGAGAGCAAGCGGACCUCAUAAAGUGCGUCGUAGUCCGGAUUGGAGUCUGCAACUCGACUCCAUGAAGUCGGAAUCGCUAGUAAUCGUAGAUCAGAAUGCUACGGUGAAUACGUUCCCGGGCCUUGUACACACCGCCCGUCACACCAUGGGAGUGGGUUGCAAAAGAAGUAGGUAGCUUAACCUUCGGGAGGGCGCUUACCACUUUGUGAUUCAUGACGUGGGGUGAAGUCGUAACAAGGUAAGCGUACGUGU
rnacentral:rRNA from 1 species